CAGCCGCCGCGGGAAUACGAAGGGUGCAAGCGUUACUCGGAAUUACUGGGCGUAAAGCGUGCGUAGGUGGUGGUUUAAGUCCGUUGUGAAAGCCCUGGGCUCAACCUGGGAAUUGCAGUGGAUACUGGGUCACUAGAGUGUGGUAGAGGAUAGUGGAAUUUCCGGUGUAGCAGUGAAAUGCGCAGAGAUCGGAAGGAACAUCUGUGGCGAAGGCGACUAUCUGGGCCAACACUGACACUGAGGCACGAAAGCGUGGGGAGCAAACAGGAUUAGAUACCCCGGUAGUCCCUGUCUCUUAUAC
rnacentral:rRNA from 1 species